GAAAUGCGAUACUUGGUGUGAAUUGCAGAAUCCCGUGAACCAUCGAGUCUUUGAACGCAAGUUGCGCCCGAAGCCAUUAGGCUGAGGGCACGUCUGCCUGGGCGUCACAUAUCGCUGCCCGAUGCCUAUUGCAUUGUGAUAGGAAUUUUUAGGGCGAAUGAUGGCUUCCCGUGAGGAUUGUUGUCUCGCGGUUGGUUGAAAAUUGAGUCCUUGGUGGGGUGUGCCAUGAUAGAUGGUGGUCGAGUUAGCACGAGACCCAUCAUGUGUAUGCUCCCCAUAAUAUGGCUUCAAUGACCCACAUGCGUCUUUUGACUCUCAUGAUGAGACCUCAGGUCAGGCGGGGCUACCCGCUGAGUUUAA
rnacentral:misc_RNA from 1 species